AACGUAGGUGGCGAGCGUUAUCCGGAUUUACUGGGCGUAAAGCGUGUGCAGGUGGCCUGUUAAGUGGUGUAUGAAAUCGCCCGGCUCAACCGGGCGGGGCUAUGCCAGACUGGCAGGCUAGAGGGUGGGAGAGGGAUGUGGAAUUCCGGGUGUAGUGGUGAAAUGCGUAGAGAUCCGGAGGAACCCCAGAGGCGAAGGCGGCAUCCUGGCCCACGACUGACACUCAGACACGACAGCAUGGGGAGCGAAUGGG
rnacentral:rRNA from 1 species